AUGAGCAGCGCCAUGAAGCUGCAGGAGAGGGUUACCGUGCCGAGGACGGCGUGGAAGCUAGCCGACAUCUUCAUCCUCUGCCUCCUCCUCGUUCUCCUGUCCUGCCGUGUGGCGUCGCUGGGAGAGGGCGGCGCCGGCGCCGCCGCGCUCGUCUGCGAGGCGUGGUUCACCUUUGUGUGGAUCCUCAACAUGAACAUCAAGUGGAAUCCCGUUCGGUUCCACACGUACCCUGAAAACCUCUCACAAAGGAUGGACGAGCUCCCGGCGGUGGACAUGUUGGUGACCACCGCGGACCCGGAGCUGGAGCCGCCGCUGAUGACGGUGAACACGGUCCUCUCCUUGCUCGCCGUGGACUACCCGGACGUCGACAAGCUCGCGUGCUACGUCUCCGACGACGGCUGCUCGCCGGUAACGUGCUACGCGCUGCGCGAGGCCGCAGGGUUCGCCAGGCUGUGGGUGCCCUUCUGCAAGAGGCACGGUGUGGGAGUGAGGGCCCCUUUCAUUUACUUCGCUUCCAGCAGACCAGAACCUGAUCUCGCCGGCGACAAGUUCUCCGACGACUGGAUCUUCAUCAAGAGCGAGUAUGACAAGUUAGUUAGCCUGAUCGAGAGCGCGGACGAGGCGUCCCUUCUCCGGCACGACCAUGCCGGCGAGUUCACCGAGUUCAAGGGGGCCGAGUGUGGGGACCAUCCUGCCAUCGUUAAGGUUCUUUGGGACAACAGCAAAAGCAGCGGGACCGGGGAAGGUUUCCCAAAUCUUGUGUACGUUUCAAGAGAGAAAAGCCGCAAACAUGACCACCACUACAAGGCCGGUGCCAUGAAUGUUCUGGCAAGGGUGUCUGCGGUGAUGACAAACGCGCCCAUCAUACUGAACGUGGACUGCGACAUGUUCGUCAACAACCCACAGGUCGUCCUGCACGCCACGUGCCUCCUGCUGGGGUUCGACGAUGAGACGUGUAGCGGCUUCGUCCAGGUGCCGCAGAGAUUCUACGGCAAACUCAAGGACGAUCCUUUUGGUAAUCAGAUGGAGGUUUUACGUGAGAAACUUUUCGGUGGACUCGCUGGACUUCAGGGCAUCUUUUACCUUGGGACGGGCUGCUUUCACCGUAGGAAAAUCAUUUACGGUGUGGCACCAGCUUCAUUUGCGGCCAUCAAACAUGAAAGAGAAGGUUCACUAUCCUACGAGGAUCUGCUGACCAAGUUUGGGGCUUCAAUGGAACUGGUCGAGUCAUCCAGGAACAUAUAUUCCGUGGAAAUACCGCCAAAACCCAUGAUCGACAUAACGAGUCGCAUCCAAGUGGCAAAGCAAGUGUCCACCUGCAACUACGAGACAGGCACACAUUGGGGUGAGGAGAUUGGUUGGUCCUACGGGUCAAUGGCAGAAGACAUCCUGACCGGGCAGCGUAUCCAUUCAGCAGGUUGGAAAACCACGCUGCUGGACACUAACCCACCAGCAUUCUUGGGAUGUGCUCCUACAGGAGGACCAGCCAGCCUUACUCAGUAUAAGAGAUGGGCAACUGGAGUUCUAGAGAUACUCCUCGGGCAGAAUAACCCAAUCAUCGCCACCACCUUCAAGCGCCUCCAGUUCCGGCAGUGCCUUGCAUACCUAGUCCUAUACAUCUGGUCUAUGAGGGCACCUUUCGAGCUAUGCUAUGCACUAUUAGGACCUUUCUGUCUCUUCAGAAACCACUCCUUCCUUCUGAAGGCAUCAAACCAUGGUUUCAGCAUCCAACUAGCCCUAUUCUUGUCCUACAACAUAUACAACUUUGUGGAGUACAAGGAAUGCGGACUCUCAGCCCGUACUUGGUGGAAUAACAUGAGGAUGCGUAUCAAUCUCCUCCUGGCUCCUUGCUUUCCUUAG
rnacentral:rRNA from 1 species